CUUGGUCUAGAGGAAGUAAAAGUCGUAACAAGGUUUCCGUAGGUGAACCUGCGGAAGGAUCAUUAAUGAAUUGUUAGGAUGCUCUUUUUAGAGGUCCGACCCCUUCAUUUCCUUACACUGUGCACACACUUCUUUUUCACACACUUUUAACACAUCAGUCUAAAGAAUGUAAAUAGUCUCUUAAUUGAGCAUAAAAUAAAUAAAACUUUCAGCAACGGAUCUCUUGGCUCUC
rnacentral:misc_RNA from 1 species